UACGAAGGGGGCUAGCGUUGUUCGGAAUUACUGGGCGUAAAGCGCGCGCAGGCGGCUCUUCAAGUCAGGGGUGAAAGCCCAGAGCUCAACUCUGGAACUGCCUUUGAGACUGAAGAGCUUGAGUACGGGAGAGGUGAGUGGAAUUCCCAGUGUAGAGGUGAAAUUCGUAGAUAUUGGGAAGAACACCGGUGGCGAAGGCGGCUCACUGGCCCGUUACUGACGCUGAGACGCGAAAGCGUGGGGAGCGAACAGG
rnacentral:rRNA from 1 species